rnacentral:rRNA from 1 species
UACGUAGGGGGCAAGCGUUGUCCGGAAUCAUUGGGCGUAAAGCGCGUGUAGGCGGUUCGAUAAGUCUGCUGUGAAAGUCGGGGGCUCAACCCUCGAAAGCCGGUGGAUACUGUCGGGCUAGAGUCCGGAAGAGGCGAGUGGAGUUCCCGGUGUAGCGGUGAAAUGCGCAGAUAUCGGGAGGAACACCAAUGGCGAAGGCAGCUCGCUGGGACGGUACUGACGCUGAGACGCGAAAGCGUGGGGAGCAAACAGGAGUUAGAA